rnacentral:rRNA from 1 species
GUGGGGAAUAUUGCACAAUGGGGAAACCCUGAUGCAGCGACGCCGCGUGAGUGAAGAAGUAUUUCGGUACGUAAAGCUCUAUCAGCAAGGAAGAAAAUGACGGUACUUGACUAAGAAGCCCCGGCUAACUACGUGCCAGCAGCCGCGGUAAUACGUAGGGGGCAAGCGUUAUCCGGAUUUACUGGGUGUAAAGGGAGCGUAGACGGUAUGGUAAGUCAGAUGUGAAAGCCCGGGGCUCAACCCCGGGACUGCAUUUGAAACUAUCAGACUAGAGUGCAGGAGAGGUAAGUGGAAUUCCUAGUGUAGCGGUGAAAUGCGUAGAUAUUAGGAGGAACACCAGUGGCGAAGGCGAUCUGCUGGACAGCAACUGACGCUGAGGCGCGAAAGCGUGGGGAGCAAACAGGAUUAGAUACCCUGGUAGUCC